UGUAUGCCCCCCUCGGGGAGGGCCCCCUCGUGUGGGAGGCUCUCCCGUCCAAGCAGAGCAAAGGCGGAGCAGCCCGGCAGCUCCCCAGUGGUCAGAUCAGAGUGGACGGGGUCGGGCACAUUUCUCCAGCAGUUCUGAACGCACGUUCCAUGGGGUGCUGUUCCCCUCUGUUGCAACACCGUUUGCGGCGUGCGGGCGAACCCCCUACCGCUUCAAGUUGUGCCUGUGCGUGGCGGAGCAGGCCGCUUUGGUGACUCUAGAUAACCUUGGCCCGAUCGCACGUCCCUGUGACGGCGACAAUGCAUUCGGAUGUCUGCCCUAUCAACUUUCAAUGGUACUUUCUGUACCCACCAUGGUGACCACGGGUAACUGGAAUCAGGAUUCGAUUCCGGAGAAGGAGCCUGAGAAACAGCUACCGCAUCCAAGGAAGACAGCAGGCACGCAAAUUACCCACUCCUGACUUAGGGAGGUAGUGACGAAAAAUAACAAUACAGGACUGUUUCGAGGCCCUGUAAUUGGAAUGAGUAGACUUAAAAUCCUUUAACGAGGAACCAUUGGAGGGCACGUCUGGUGCCAGCAGCCGCGGUGUCCAGCUCCAAUAGCGUAUAUUAAAGUUGAUGUAGUUAAAAAUGCUCGUAGUUGGAUCCUGGGAUCGAGGUGGCGGUCCGCCAUGAGGCGAGCUACCGCCUGUACCAGCCCCUGCCUCUCGGCGCCCCCUUGAUGCUCUUGACUGAGUGUCCUGGGGGUUCGAAGCGUUUACUUUGAAAUAUUUGUGUGUUCAAAGCAGGCCGGUCGCCUGAAUACUUCAGCUAGGAAUAAUGGAAUAGGACUCUGGUUCUAGUUGAUUUUCGGAACUGGGGCCAUGAUUAAGAGGGACGGCCGGGGGCAUUUGUAUUAUGCCACUAGAGGUGAAAUUCUUGGACCGGUGCAAGACGAGCCAAAGCGAAAGCAUUAGACAAGAAUGUUUUCAUUAAUCAAGAACCAAAGUCGGACAUUCAAAGACAAUCAGAUACCGUUGUAGUUCUGACCAUAAACAAUGCCGACUAGCGAUCCAGUAGCCUUAUUCCCAUGACCCGCGAGCAGCUUCCCGGAAACCAAAGUCUUUGGGUUCCUGGGUGAGUAUGGUUGCAAAGCUGAAACUUAAAGGAGUUGACGGAAGGGCACCCCCAGGAGUAGAGCCUGCAGCUUAAUUUUGCUCAACACGGGAAACCUGACACGGACACAGAAAGGAUUGACAGAUUGAUAGCUCUUUCUCGAUUCUGUGGGUGGUGGUGCAUGGCCGUUCUUAGUUGGUGGAGUAACCCUGCAAGAUGCCAGAGUUCUCCCCAAGUAUGCAGGAGCUGCCAGGAUUUUGCUUAUGGUAACCGAGCAUUGCCGCCAAGCUAAGAUGGCCACCAUUUCUUUCCCCAAUGCUGCAGGGGACUCGGCCUGCACGAUCCCGUCUUCGCAAGCGGCGGAUUGGUGGGCUCAAUUUCAAUUUUCCUCAUGUCAUCAGGGAGCUGGAAGGCGAAGCCGGCCCCCUCAAAGGGCCCAGUUUAAAGGCCAUGUACCCUCCUGUCUGGGCCUGUCCAGGCUCGUACAUGGCGCAUGGGGUCAUACACUACAUCACGGCGGUACUGCGCACAUGACGAACUGUGGCAACGUCCCUUGCCGUAAGGUAAGGAUGUGCACGCCACAAUAUGCUCAUAACAUUUAUCCUGCCUACAUGAUCGAUCAAUUCUUGAUUUGCCGGCC
rnacentral:rRNA from 1 species